GGGCGUGUGGCGGAAUUGGUAGACGCACCACACUCAAAAUGUGGCGGCUUCGGCCAUGAGGGUUCGAGUCCCUCCCCGCUCA
rnacentral:tRNA from 1 species